rnacentral:rRNA from 1 species
UAGUUGGUAAGGUAACGGCUUACCAAGGCGACGAUCAGUAGCCGACCUGAGAGGGUGAUCGGCCACAUUGGAACUGAGACACGGUCCAAACUCCUACGGGAGGCAGCAGUGGGGAAUAUUGCACAAUGGGCGAAAGCCUGAUGCAGCAACGCCGCGUGAGUGAUGAAGGCCUUCGGGUCGUAAAACUCUGUCCUCAAGGAAGAUAAUGACGGUACUUGAGGAGGAAGCCCCGGCUAACUACGUGCCAGCAGCCGCGGUAAUACGUAGGGGGCUAGCGUUAUCCGGAUUUACUGGGCGUAAAGGGUGCGUAGGCGGUCUUUCAAGUCAGGAGUGAAAGGCUACGGCUCAACCGUAGUAAGCUCUUGAAACUGGGAGACUUGAGUGCAGGAGAGGAGAGUGGAAUUCCUAGUGUAGCGGUGAAAUGCGUAGAUAUUAGGAGGAACACCAGUUGCGAAGGCGGCUCUCUGGACUGUAACUGACGCUGAGGCACGAAAGCGUGGGGAGCAAACAGGAUUAGAUACCCUGGUAGUCCACGCUGUAAACGAUGAGUACUAGGUGUCGGGGGUUACCCCC